CAGCAAGAUGGAACGUGAAUA
rnacentral:miRNA from 1 species